rnacentral:rRNA from 1 species
UACGUAGGUGGCAAGCGUUGUCCGGAAUUAUUGGGCGUAAAGAGCUUGUAGGCGGUUUGUCGCGUCUGCUGUGAAAUUUCGGGGCUCAACCCCGAACUUGCAGUGGGUACGGGCAGACUAGAGUGUGGUAGGGGAGACUGGAAUUCCUGGUGUAGCGGUGAAAUGCGCAGAUAUCAGGAGGAACACCGAUGGCGAAGGCAGGUCUCUGGGCCAUAACUGACGCUGAGAAGCGAAAGCCAGGGGGAGCAAACGGG